GACGAACGCUGGCGGCGUGCUUAACACAUGCAAGUCGAACGGAAAGGCCCUGCUUUUGUGGGGUGCUCGAGUGGCGAACGGGUGAGUAACACGUGAGUAACCUGCCCUUGACUUUGGGAUAACUUCAGGAAACUGGGGCUAAUACCGGAUAGGAGCUCCUGCUGCAUGGUGGGGGUUGGAACGUUUCGGCGGUUGGGGAUGGACUCGCGGCUUAUCAGCUUGUUGGUGGGGUAGUGGCUUACCAAGGCUUUGACGGGUAGCCGGCCUGAGAGGGUGACCGGCGACAUGGGGACUGAGAUACGGACCAGACUCCUACGGGAGGCAGCAGGGGGGAAUAUUGCACAAUGGGCGGAAGCCUGAUGCAGCAACGCCGGGUGCGGGAUGACGGCCUUCGGGUUGUAAACCGCUUUCGCCUGUGACGAAGCGUGAGUGACGGUAAUGGGUAAAGAAGCACCGGCUAACUACGUG
rnacentral:rRNA from 1 species